CUUCACACUACAUCCUCGCGACUAAUGACAACCCUUAUCUCAUGCGCGAGAUAAAGUCUCUCAUUAGCCGCGCGAACCUCUGUACCGGAAGAUCCUCAACAAUACAUUAACCUGAUUUGCUUAUGCUUCCUAGAAGAAAGGGGCCAAAAUAGGCCCCUUUCC
rnacentral:sRNA from 1 species